rnacentral:snoRNA from 1 species
UGCAGCCUCGUCAAAUUCAGUGCUUGCCUAUCCCAUGGCAAGGACUGGCCCUAAUGGCUGCAACAGUAACACUGUAGCUCAUGGGCCCCAUGGCUCCAUCUAUGGGCCCUGGGGAUAAAUAAAGUGCUACAGACACUG